rnacentral:misc_RNA from 1 species
UCUCCGUAGGUGAACCUGCGGAGGGAUCAUUACAAGAGCGAGGGCCCUCGUGGCCCGAACCUCCAACCCUUUUGUGAACCACCUCGUUGCUUUGGGGGCGACCCUGCCGUUCGCGGCGUGGGGCCCCCGGAGCCCAUCAAACCCUGCGUAACUAAGUCGUCGGAGUUUAAACAAAUUAAACAAAACUUUCAACAACGGAUCUCUUGGUUCGGGCAUCGAUGAAGAACGCAGC